UACAGAGGUCUCAACCGUUGUUCGGAUUCAUUGGGCGUAAAGGGUGCGUAGGCGGUCGCGCAAGUCGGAUGUGAAAUCUUAGGCUCAACCCUGAAACUGCAUUCGAUACUGCGUGGCUCGAGUACUGGAGAGGAGACUGGAAUUUACGGUGUAGCAGUGAAAUGCGUAGAUAUCGUAAGGAAGACCAGUGGCGAAGGCGAGUCUCUGGACAGUUACUGACGCUGAGCACGAAGGCCAGGGGAGCAAACGGG
rnacentral:rRNA from 1 species